rnacentral:lncRNA from 1 species
GUUAUUUUCAGAAUGUAGAUACCUAGUGUAUAGUCUAAACAAGGAUAGAUAACUGCUGAAAAGGUGGUUCAGCAGGUAGAAUGGAUGAAUAGUCAAGAAAAGUAGUUAUCAUCUGUAGUAUAGGAGUUGGUAUCUCGGGGUAGUAUAAGGAGGAUGGGAGAGGGGAAGAAAAUGCCAGACUGUGAAAGUUGUGAGCCGAGGUAAGCUUGGUGCUACCUCUUUUCUUUUGUUUGUUAUUUUCUUUGAAUAAGAGGAUUGAAAGUUUCUGAAUAUUGUGAAGUGAAUUAUGGAAAUGUGAUUGGUAUUAUUUGAGAAGAAGAAAGAUUGAAUGCUGAAAUCUGAUUGUAGUUCACCAGAGAGAAUGAAUCUGUGUUUGUGUGAAAUACUGUAAUGUGAAUGGCAGUUCUGUGUGAAGAAUUCCAAAGAUUGGAACGAGGGUAAUUGUGUACUGAAAGUUGUGAGGGCACAGUAUUACAGUUGGAGAUUAUGGAGGUGAAUAUAUUGGUAGAAAUAGCAGUUAUUAGUAUGACUGAAUUGUUGUAAGGAAGAGACUGAUAAAGUGAAGGAGGAGAUUCUAGUUUCCUUAUGUGUUCAGAUAUUGGAAAUAGAGACGAUACAUUCAGGAGGUAAUUGAUUGUAUGACCCUAACGUGAACGCUUAAGCAACUAGUCAUUCUCCGUGUUUGAAUCCCCCUAUAUGGGUUUAUGCUGGGAGGUUUUUUUUAGAAUAAGUAAAACAAGCAAUCACAUUUUGGCGCUGCUGCCGGGGAGUGAUAAUAGCUUUGAGUGUUAGGAAUUAAUUACCAAAUGUGUGAGAAAAUUGGCAAUGGGAGACGAU